CUCAGAAGGCAGCCGGACCGCCACCAAGACACACGUGUGAGAGCCGGCGACCUCAACCUCCCGCCCAAUUACAACUCUUUAAUAACCCACAACUAAUAGAUGAGGAUGGCGUGUUGCUGGUGGCUCGUGUGUAGCGCCUUCCUUGUCCUGGCGGCGGUCGCUGGCCCCUCCCUGGGCCAGCCUAUCCAGGACAGUGACUUAGGGGACAUGCCAGAGCGCCUGCGCGAACUGCUCUUAAUUCGUCGACUAGUUUCAAAUUUGAACUCUGCGGAGGCGGCCAUUCCUGACGCCCUGCCUGGGAUCCGGAUAUUGAGCCGUCAGGGGCGUUGACGUCUCCUUCUGGCGCUCAGGAUCUUGAAUUAUUAUUAUUAUGUAAAUUAACGCUGAAAUACAAUUAAAGCCAAACGACGAAUAAAUGAUAAAAAAAACUUUAAUGUUCACCUCAACUCCUGUUUCUCUAUAUUUGACCAAAUGUAAAAAUAAAGAAAUUAAUGCAUAAUGAUGUUGCGUAAAAUUAAUUAUUUUAACUAAAUACAGUAGCAGAGAGUUUGCUAUUUCUGAUUCAACGAGGAUUUAUUGUUUGUAAAUACACAAAAACAAAAGUAAUAUGGCUGGAAAAGUUAUAAGAAUUCAGAAUGGAAUCGAAAGUUGGUGUUGACAUUAGAAUUUGGCGAGUGAUUGUCAUUUGUUUUCCCUUUUGGAGCGUUUGUGCAGUGUAUUCUGACCCUUCUUAAGUAACACUGGAUCAUUAUAUGUUUUAGAAAAGAUUCCAAUACCAUUAAGCAACACUAUCACCCUCCAUCAUGCUUGGUUUAGAGGCUGGCUACUUCCCCUUUAAUGUCCUAUUGAGUAUAAAGUCCUUUUUAACGGUUUGCUUUGCAAUCACUUAACUAUAAUUAUCAUCAUUUUUAGAACACACUACAUCAACCAAAAACGAAUCAUUGACAAAAUAUAAAAUAUAUUCUAGAUUAACGCAAUAAUCAGAGAAAAUGAAUAAAAUUUAAUUAUAUUUUUACGAGAAAUACGUUAUGGUAAAGAAAACGGGGGAUUAGAGUUCUGGGGACACGAUUGUAUCUAAUGAAGAAUUUAAAAUACAUAAUAACAUUA